UCCCCCGCCAUUUCAGCCCGGCGCGGAGAGGCAGAGGGACGCGAGCGGCCGCCGCGGGGACGAGCAGCCGCCCCGCAGCCCGGACAGCGCCAGGUCUGCUGAAAAUGACAGAAUAUAAACUUGUCGUUGUUGGAGCUGGUGGUGUAGGCAAGAGUGCCUUGACAAUACAGCUAAUUCAGAAUCAUUUUGUGGAUGAAUAUGAUCCUACAAUAGAGGAUUCCUACAGGAAACAAGUAGUAAUUGAUGGAGAAACCUGUCUCUUGGAUAUUCUUGAUACAGCAGGUCAAGAGGAGUACAGUGCAAUGAGGGACCAAUACAUGAGAACAGGGGAGGGAUUCCUAUGUGUAUUUGCCAUAAAUAAUACAAAAUCAUUUGAAGAUAUUCACCAUUAUAGGGAACAAAUAAAAAGAGUUAAAGAUUCUGAAGAUGUCCCCAUGGUGCUAGUAGGAAACAAAUGUGACUUACCUUCCAGAACAGUAGAUACAAAACAAGCUCAGGACUUAGCACGAAGUUAUGGAAUUCCUUUCAUUGAAACAUCAGCAAAAACAAGACAGAGAGUGGAGGAUGCUUUUUAUACAUUGGUGCGAGAGAUUCGACAGUACAGAGUGAAAAAAAUCAGCAAAGAAGAAAAGACUCCAGGGGUGUCGAUGAUGCCUUCUACACGUUAGUUCGAGAAAUUCGAAAACAUAAAGAGAAGAUGAGCAAAGAUGGGAAAAAGAAGAAAAAGAAGACAAAGACAAAGUGUAUAAUUAUACUGACUGCAAUAUUGAGAGACCAGAAGCCUUUAUAGUCUUCCUAUAGAUUCUGCUUCUAGGCAUCUAGUCUUGUAGCAUUUCAAAUCAACUUCCAAUGAAUGUAAAGAUAUAACUUUCACAAAGUUUUUCACUGCAAUUUGUCAUGGUCACUCCUUUAAAUACUAUAUUUUUUCUAUAAAAAAAGAAAAAUUAAAAAAAGACAAUAAUGCACAUCUGGCAAUGGAAAAAGUAAAAGUUCUAAUUAAAUUGAUUUGCUAUUGUAAUGCUUUGCUUAAGACUUUCACUAACUUUUUAUGUCAGGAGACCCAGGGUUAAAUCUUGGCUCCACUGAAGUAACUGGCAAACUUCAAAGUAGCAUCAGUAGGGUCAGGAUUUCACCCUCAGCAUCACUACUAAGAAAUACUGGAAAGCCUUAACAAAUGAGUAAUUCAAACACUUACAGAAGUUAAUUCAUAUGUUGAUUCAGAAUUUAAUCCUAAGAAUGAGGUCAGGACCUCUACCUUUAUAGAUGUCAGAACCAUUUUUUCAAGAGUGGCAUUAAAUAUUUCCAAAUGCCCAUUUUGUGUAUAAUAGGGGAGGCAUUUUAAAGCCCAGUAACCUCUUUAGAUUCAGUAAUGGCACUUGAAUUCAACUGCUUCAUACGGAUUAGUUGGAAAUCCACUAUGCCAUAAAUAUAGGGAUGAUGAAGAAUUUGCACAAACACUCAGCAUGCAUAGCUGAUAUGGUUCCCAGAGCUAAUGUUGUUUUGUGUUCUGCUGUGAUUCUUGUGAAAUACUAAUUUUGUUUCACAGAUUAAAUGGUUGUUUAGUGGAAUAAAAUGUCAAGAUUGUUACACAUCGAAACCAGGUUUUCAGUGGUGGUGUUCCCAGAGUGAUUUUUUUCUUGUGAUUUUUCUGAUUGGAGUUAAUCCAUUUUGAAGAAGCUUUCAUUUGCAGUAUAGCAAUAGUUUGGUUAAUCUGCACCAAAGUGAGAGCCAGUUCUCUCAUGUUGCCAAUGCUUGUGAUUUUUAUCGUGAAUUUAAUAAAUUUGAUGUUUUUCUUAAGGUCUCCACUCCUGGAGUUGUUGAGUUUGCUUUUCUAAUGUGUCUAGCCCUCAUAGUUGCAGAGAAGAGCUUGAAAGUGUGACUCAACUGUAUGCUAAAUGAUUGAACAGCAGAAGGCAAAUAAUACACAACAUGUAUUGGUCUUUAAAACCUUGUGAUUUGUCGAGGCCUGAUUCAUGAAUGUUCAGUGGUCAUGAUAGACAAAACUGCUAUUCCCAAGUUAUCCUGAAACUUUUAAACAGAGUUUGCACACUGAGUUUUUCAGAGUAGGAUUUUCAUGUAGCAGCAUAACUUAAAAUGCAUGUACAGUAUCAAAGGUACAACUACAUGUGCAAGAUGACCUCUUAUUUCUAUACAGGGAGCAGUAGAGUGGCCAUAUUUGAAAGAGAGUGGCAGUGGUGGCUAGAGGUGUAAUAAACAGACUACCUGUAUUUCUGCAUGAUCCUUACAUUUUGUGUGGCUGGGAAAUUUUUGAAAUUAAAAAAAAAAAAAAUUCCCAAGCUGCAGGGUAUAUACUUCAUACAUAUGGCAAAAAAGAAAAAAGGAUACUGAAAGAUAGUGGUGGGAGAACAUAAUGUUAUAUCCUAAUUUAGGACCAAUAGGAAGAGGGAACAAAUCCCUGUAGGUGUUGUAAACAUCUAGGGUUUUAUUUGCAACUUUUGAGUUUAAAACAUCUUGAGGUUGAGAUUUUGUUGGUUUAAUUGGAUAUUUUUAGACACUACUAUCAACGUAUUGGAGGAAUGUAGCAGAAGUGGAUAGUGUAACUUGAACAAACAAGAAAUAAAAUCUUAAGACUUUUUGUAACUGAGUCACACUGCAUGCAAAUUUAGGGCUCGUCUAGACACAGUUUUUUAUCAAUUUAACUAAAUGAGUAGAAAAACUGAUUUAGCUAAAAUUGGUGCAGCUUUCAAAUGUGGAUGCAAUUAUCAGUAUAGAAGUAAUAUACCAAGAUAGCUUAUUUUAAUAAAGUUAAUCUGUAAACUACCAAUUCAUUUGAAUAGAUAUUAAAACUGUUUAGACCAGCCUUUAUGAUCUAACUUUCACAAAAUACGCUCAUCCUUGCCACUGUUGUGCAGUUUUGUCUUAGUAUUUGUAGAGACUUGGUGAGGCAUGUUGAAUUGCAGCUUGCACAAGUUGAUCUAAUAAUUUAUUCUGUCUUUCCCUAUUUGAAAUGCUUUCCAAGAACAUAUCCAGAUGCUAUCUUUUUCUGAUAGUAACUAUUAAAUGAACAUGUGAAGUCACUUACUAUAUUAAUACAUUAGAUUUCCAAUGCCUGAUAGUAGCUUUAUGUAACUUUUGAUAAACAUCUUUUUUUAAAAAAAGUCAUCAGUUAACUUAAAACUGAAAUUUUAUUGUUUCGAUUCUUUUAACCUAUACAGUUGUCCUAAAAUCUUGGUUGGCUGAGGUUAUGUUAAAAAAAAAAAAAAAAAAAAAAAAAAAAUUCACCAUAUACAAUGCUGUUACUGUAAUAGCAUUUCUCUAAUAGGUAAGUUGGUACAUAAACUUCCAUUCUUUUGUCAGUACUAUCAAGCAAUACAACUAUUUCUUUCUAAGGCCUACAAGUUGUGGCUCUUUUUGUAAAGUCUACAUAAAGCUACAUAGGCAGUAAUCUUUCCUAACAUUUCCCAAUAAUUCCACUGUCUUGUGUUUUCAUGUUGAAAAUACUUCUGCUUUUUCCUCUUGAGUGCCAACUUCUUACUAGAACAAUUUCUUAAUGUAAUAUGUUUACCUGGAAUGUAUUUUAACUAUUUUUGUAUAGUGUAAACUGAAACAUGCACAUUUUGUACAUUGUGCUUUUUUUGAUGUGGAACAUAUGCAGUGUGAUCCAGUUUUCCCAUCAUUUGGUUGCAUGACCUAUGAAUAUUUGGUCAUACCAGACAUUAAAUUAAAAGAAUGACCACUGUUUAAACUUUUUAAUGUUUUAUAGGAGUAUGUGCUGUGAGGUAAUCUGAAAUUUGUCAUUUUUUGUCAAAUUGUACUGCUCCUAUUUAUUGUAAUGUAAUAAAAAUAGUUAUUGUGAA